UUGAAAGGGAAACGAUUGAAGUCAGUCGUACCGACGGAAAAUCAGCUCUUCGAGUGCGGACUUGUGGGCGUACGUGAGCUUUAACCGGCCUCGUCGUUUGCUACGUUUGUGCGGGUGUACCUUUUCGUAUGGUAGGCCAACGUCAGUUUCGAUCACCAUAAAAUGAUCGGAGGAAUGUAGCUUCGAUCUUGUAUUGAAGUGUUAUAGCCUUUGGUAGAUGUGGUGACUGAGACUGAGGAUUGCAACGAAUACCCAAUGGGCUAUCCGUCUGACCUCUGAAAGUUGCUUAGGUGCCGAAAGCUUGCUUACGGUCAUCUAUGACGACGGUCAAAAGGCUAGAACGUGAUUAUAUUCGUUAAGGAUGUUGACGUA
rnacentral:rRNA from 1 species